rnacentral:lncRNA from 1 species
CAUGAGCAAACUUUUUUCUCUGUGAUAGCUUCAUUUUGGAAGCCAUUUCGGACAAGAGAGACUUACAAACAGCUUAGGAGACCUAAUGAGAGGUAGAGUGGAAAGAAUUUUAGAAGAAAAAUAAGAAUUUUGGGGAGAUAAACCGCCAGUUUGGAAGAAGAAGAUUUUAGUUCCUAAAAAGGGUGAUUUGAAGGAAAAAACCCGAUGGAAAGAGAGAUUUUAAGAGAAUUUUUGCAAUUGAAAAAGUAAAGAGAAAGGGGAUUUUUGUUCAGUG